rnacentral:tRNA from 1 species
GGUUUGUGGCUCGGUGGUACAGCGCUUUCCUCACAUGCAUGGGGCACUGGGUUCGAUCCUCGGCACCA